CAUUUUGUAUUCCAUUUUCAAGUCACUUUUUUUUCGCUUACUGUUUAAACAAAACGUGGGAUUUUUUUUAAAUCUCAGGUCUUUUGAACGCACAUCUGAACGAUGUCUGGUUUUAAUUUCUUCAGUUACUCCGUGACCAUGGCGCUUGCAACAGUGCCGAAAUAUUGGAAACUCAAAACUAAGCACAACGAAAAUCUGCUUUGGCGCGUAGCAAUGCAACGUGACAACUACAGUUCGGACUUCUUUAUGCGUCCACUACACAUAAAAUAAAAUUCGAACUAUCGCACA